AACCUUCUGUAUCCGUGCUGAGAUUUCGUCACACACGAAAUCACAAGGGUUGGUGGGACUCACAAGAUAAGUAAAGCU
rnacentral:pre_miRNA from 1 species